rnacentral:rRNA from 1 species
AACGAACGCUGGCGGCAUGCCUAACACAUGCAAGUCGAACGAGACCACCGGGACUAUGGGCGCAUGGGUUCGUAACGCGUGGGAACCUGCCCAUAUGGUCGGACUAACUCCCCGAAAGGGGUGCUAACACCGGACAAUGGCUUCUGACCAAAGAUAUAUUGCCUUUGGUUGUGCCCUCGUUGGAUUAGCUAGUUGGGAGGGUAAAAGCCGACCAAGGCGACGAUUCAUAACUGGUCUGUGAGAAUGGUCAGCCACUCUGGGACUGGGACACGGCCCAGACUCCUACGGGAGGCAGCAGUGGGGGAUGUUGGACCGUGGGCGAAGUGCUGAUCCAGCACUGCCGCGUGAGUGAUGAAGGCCUUAGAGUUGUAAAGCUCAUGUACCCGUGAUGAUAAUGACGGUACCGGGAGAGUAAGCUCCGGCUAACUCCGUG